rnacentral:rRNA from 1 species
AGAGUUUGAUCCUGGCUCAGAGCGAACGCUAGCGGCACGCUUAACACAUGCAAGUCGAACGGAAGUCGAUGUACUUGUACAUUGGCUUUAGUGGCAAACGGGUGAGUAAUGUAUAGGAAUCUGCCCUUUUGAGGGGGAUAGUUACGGGAAACUGUAGAUAAUACCCCAUAAGCUCGAAAGAGGAAAGGUCGAAAGAUCGCUGAAGGAGGAGCCUAUAUCGGAUUAGAUUGUUGGUGAGGUAAUGGCUUACCAAGUCUAUGAUCCGUAACUGGUCUGAGAGGAUGACCAGUCACACUGGGACUGAGAUACGGCCCAGACUUCUACGGAAGGCAGCAGUGAGGAAUUUUGGACAAUGGGGGAAACCCUGAUCCAGCGAUGUCGCGUGUAUGAUGAAGGCCAUUUGGUUGUAAAGUACUUUCGUCGGUGAAGAUAAUGACGGUAACCGAAAAAGAAGCUCCGGCUAACUUCGUGCCAGCAGCCGCGGUAAUACGAAGGGAGCAAGCGUUGCUCGGAAUAAUUGGGCGUAAAGGGUGCGUAGGUGGUUUUUUAAGUGAGAUGUUAAAGACUCGGACUCAAUCUGAGGGGUGCAUUUCAUACUGAAAAACUCGAGUGUGGGAGAGGAAACAGGAAUUCCUCAUGUAGAGGUGAAAUUCGUAGAUAUGAGGAGGAACACCAAAGGCGAAGGCAAGUUUCUGGAACACAACUGACACUAAGGCACGAAAGCGUGGGGAGCAAACAGGAUUAGAUACCCUGGUAGUCCACGCCCUAAACGAUGACUGCUAAACGUCGGGAAUGAACAGUUCUCGGUGUUGAAGCUAACGCGUUAAGCAGUCCGCCUGGGGAGUACGGUCGCAAGACUAAAACUCAAAGGAAUUGACGGGGACCCGCACAAGCGGUGGAGCAUGUGGUUUAAUUCGAUAAUCCGCGAAAAACCUUACCAGCUCUUGACAUGGAAGUCGCGAGUCUGAGAGAUCAGACUUUUCGGUUCGGCCGGACUUCGCACAGGUGGUGCAUGGCUGUCGUCAGCUCGUGUCGUGAGAUGUUGGGUUAAGUCCUUUAACGGGCGCAACCCCUAUCUUUAGUUGCUAACAGGUAAAGCUGAGAACUUUAAAGAGACUGCCAGUGAUAAACUGGAGGAAGGUGGGGAUGAUGUCAAGUCCUCAUGCCCCUUAUGAGCUGGGCUACACACGUGCUACAAUGGCGACUACAAUAGGUUGCAAAGGGGUGACCCUGAGCCAAUCCAUAAAAGUCGUCUCAGUUCGGAUUGUUCUCUGCAACUCGAGAACAUGAAGUUGGAAUCGCUAGUAAUCGCAGAUCAGCACGCUGCGGUGAAUACGUUCACGGGUCUUGUACACACCGCCCGUCAAGCCACGGGAAUUGGUUUCACCCAAAGACUAUGAGCUAACCGUAAGGAGGCAGUAGGUUAAGGUGAGAUUGGUGACUGGGGUUAAGUCGGAACAAGGUA